rnacentral:rRNA from 1 species
UGCGUAGGUGGCGAGGUAAGUUUGAUGUGAAAUCUCCGAGCUCAACUCGGAAAUGGCAUUGAAUACUAUCCCGCUUGAGGGUCGGAGGGGAGACUGGAAUUCUCGGUGUAGCAGUGAAAUGCGUAGAUAUCGAGAGGAACACCAGUGGCGAAGGCGAGUCUCUGGACGACUCCUGACACUGAGGCAAGACUGGGGAGCAAACA